rnacentral:rRNA from 1 species
GGCGAACGGGUGAGUAACACGUGGGUAACCUGCCCCCAUCUCUGGGAUAACCGUUGGAAACGGCGGCUAAUACCGGAUACGACCUGGCUCCGCAUGGUGCUGGGUGGAAAGUUUUUGCGGUUGGGGAGGGGCCCGCGGCCUAUCAGCUUGUUGGUGCGGUAGUGGCGCACCAAGGCUUUGACGGGUAGCCGGCCUGAGAGGGCGGUCGGUCACAUUGGGACUGAGAUACGGCCCAGACUCCUACGGGAGGCAGCAGUGGGGAAUUUUGCACAAUGGGCGAAAGCCUGAUGCAGCGACGCCGCGUGAGGGAUGACGGCUUUCGGGUUGUAAACCUCUUUUAUCCACCACGAAGGCCCCGUAUUCGCGGGGUUGACGGUAGUGGUUGAAUAAGCGCCGGCUAACUACGUGCCAGCAGCCGCGGUAAGACGUAGGGCGCGGGCGUUGUCCGGAUUUAUUGGGCGUAAAGGGCUCGUAGGCGGUUGAUUGCGUCCGCCGUGAAAGGCCUCGGCUUAACCGGGGUUUUGCGGUGGAUACGGGUCGACUUGAGGCAAUUAGGGGAGAUCGGAAUUCUACGUGUAGCGGUGAAAUGCGCAGAUAUGUGGAGGAACACCGGUGGCGAAGGCGGAUCUCUGGGAUUGUUCUGACGCUGAGGAGCGAAAGCGUGGGGAGCGAACAGGAUUAGAUACCCUGGUAGUCC